GGUGUGGUUUGCAAGCGUACUCAAAUAUCUAAGAAAGUGUGCUCGCUGGUUUUUCAUAACGACAUUGUCAUUCCAAUCAGUCGUAUCUAUACUUCAGUCUUUUCUAAAGUUCUGUAAUUUUGCGCCAGAGUCAUGGUGCAUGUCGCUACGGUAGCAGUAGCGUUUCUGCGAGCUAUGGCAUGUGUGCAGAGUUCAGAUCAUGUGAGUAACUUGGCUAGCUGGAUCAUAAGGGCACAUGGUUGAAAUACACAAACAUCAGCGGCCAGUGCAACAUAUGUGAUUCUCUUUCCAACGUUUGCCAAAAAGAUACGUAUGGAGGAGACGGGUCGUCUAAACUUGCUGAUGGAGUAACAUGCUUGACCAAUCAAUACAAGAUAGGUUUGAGUAGUUGUACACCCAAAUCUUCUGUUCUUUGGAUUAAUCCGAGCCAAAUGCCUGGUCGUGGAUUUCAGAUUUACUGUGACAUGACAUCAUUUGGUGGUGGGUGGAGUCUCAUCUAUUCAAGUCGCGAUGAUUCUACUGGUGACAACAACAUGCAAAAAGGAAAUAGGUUUACUGCACACAUUACCAGUCUAGAUCCAGGAAAUGCAAACAAACGUCUGGCAUACGACGUAUUUAAAGCCAUAGAACAAAGCAGUUAGGAUAUGAAGAAGUGAUGCUCACUUGAUACAGAGACUACAGAGUUAAGAAGUCGAUAAUCAAGAUGUACUUCCAGAAAAAUUCAACAUUAGGACUUACUUUUAGUCAGUUUAUAGACAGAAGAAUGGCUGGUGGUUCCAGAUUUGGCUGUGGCACUUCAGUUUGUUGCUUGCAACAUUAACAAGUAAAAUAUUUCUAUAGUUACUAUUUCUCUAGUAUUCUUACUAUGGCACAGAAAAUUCCAGCGGCAAACCUAUUGCUCUCAGUUGGGAAGAGGGUGCUUUCGUAGCUGGAGCAGUGUCUUUAAGCUGCGCUUGGUUUAAGGAAGUCUGGAAUGAGGUAGACAAUAAUGGUGGACACUUACUUGCUCCACGAGACUGGAGUCGUGCUGAAAUAUACUACAGCCAGUCGUCGUCUAGCGGCAGCUGUGGACAUCGCGGUCUCUUUCACAUCUUCAUCCGCUAGUCAAAAGAUUUGCAAGUGUGGAUCAGUGUGGAUGCUGCGGCAUGCAGAUGACUAUUGGAUAGUAGUUAGUUUGACGUUUGAUGGUUUUUGCUGCUGCUGUGUUUUAGAAAUCUAAGCAAACUAAUGCCUGCAUGUCUAGCUUAUAUGCUCAGAUUAUAGCUGCUAGUUUCUAGCAAUUUGCUAGUCGCUUUGUGUCGUUUUAGUUGUAGACUUCAUGAUCGUCUGCGUAACAUUAGCUACAUACGCAGAAAUAGAAAAAUAUA